UGCCGCUGCGGGGACGGGCUGCCCUCCUCCUGCAAAGUUAGCGGUGCCCCCCCGCACGGCGAGGGACCGCAGACAAAGCGCAGGGCAGCGGCAUGGUGCGAGCCGGGCCCCGCCGGGCGCUCCCCUACGGGACAGGGGAGCGAGUCUCCGGUCCCGGCCCUGGCCGGAUUUUCGCGAUUACCUUUGGGUCCGGGGAUGAUUUUAGGGCUGAGUUCUCCUCCUCCCAUUGGCUGGGGCCGCGGAAUAAUUAUGAUCACAUCCUAAUACUCUUGGCUGGUGCUUACUGUUUAUUGGUAGUUAAGGAUCUAUUAUCUAUUCAUCAGCCUCCCAUUUUUGCCAAUUACAUUCUUCUAAAGUGAAGUACCAGCAGGUAUUUUGCACAUUUACAAUUAAUGAUAAAAAAUCUGGCGUGCUUUAAAUCUAUUACGCCGCUGUGUAAUUCAUCUUAAAGAUGCAGAAUUGCUAAUGUAAAUUAAUGUUUCUGCCGAACCGAGCGGACGGGGGGAGGCUUAAAACCAGCCCAGCGUUUCUUUCCUUCGUUCACGCACUUUGUUUUCUUUCUCCUUUCCACUUUAUCCACAAAGAAUCCGUUACUCCGCCGCAUUAAAACAGGCUCCAAAUCGCUGUCGAAGCGGUGCCGAGAAGGUCCUCGCUUCUUUCCAGUAAAGGAAAGGCGAGCUGAACCCUGGGCGCCUUCCCCGCUCCCCGAUAGCCGAUAUUUUUAACACGAUAGCAAAACGUGCUAAAUAAAUGGGACAAAACAACGCCGGGCACGCGAGGAUGCCGGGGUUUUUACGCCUUUUGUUUCGGGAAGCCUUUCCCUUUGUGUGAGCCGCGCUGCGUGCACUCGGUGCGGGGAGAAGUUCUCUUUCCGUGUAAACGUAAAUGUACUCCCCGGCUCGGAGCGGCUGCACCUACGGACCCCACAGACACACGUGCAUGCGAUGGCAGGGACAAAGUGAGAGAGGUGUUCGCAGGGAAGGCGUGACUGAAGGCUUCUGAGGGAUUUUGCAGCGCGGUGCGACUCUCGCACGGUUGGGAGAAGCUCUCCUCCCGGCCGCCGGGCGCAGGAAGGCACGGCCCCGCCGGGCUGAGGCGGAUUUGCCCCCUCGUGUGCCUUGGGAACAGCCCGAGGUUCAACUUCUCAAGUCCUCUCGCCUCUUUCCUGCAGCACCUCUCCCUGAGCCGGCGGUACUGCCGUCCGUGCGGAAGGCUGGCUGCGUUGGAAGGAGCCAGGCUCAGAAAGUGCCCUAAACACGGCGGGUGUUUGAGGUGCUGAACCCGAUGGGGUCUCGGUUCCUGAGCACUGAAAAGAAAAAGAGAAACUUUUCCUUCUCCUAGGAAGAGACGCGAUCUGCCUCUGCGUAUUUGCGUAUUUAUAUUUCCCCGGGACUGCAAAAUGAAUCUGAACUGGAAAAACAAACAAACAAAACCUUCAAUUCCUUUCUUUUCCUUUUUUUUUUUUUUUUUUUUUUUUUCUCCAGACAUCCUAAGAUAAUCACAGGGCUGCUUUGAAAAUUGCAUCGAGCAGUUCGGCAGCCGGGGAGGGAGGAAUUACACCCGUGUGAAAACCAGCCUCACCGGCACGCACGCCGAGCGGGGAAAAGCGGCCAAAAGGCUCGCUCCGUUUCCCUCUCCCCUCUUCCUUGGGAAAUAUUCGCUAGGCUGAAAUCCCCUCCCGGAGGGGGUCCCGUCGCUCUCGGGUGGAGAGUGGGAGGCCACAGCUGCUGCUCAGAGGGAGCAGGGAUAUGGAGCUUCCCCUGCCCGGCCCGGCUCGGCCCCGCGCUCCCUGUACGGCGGCUGUGGCCGCGCAGCUCCGCUCCCUGCUCGCCUGCUGUGCCUGCUGUGCACAUCCAUACGUCCCUAUACAUCCCUAUAUAUCGAUGGAUGUGCCUGCGUGCCCACGGACAGAGCAACUGCAGGGAGCAGAGCCCGGGGAGCACCGGCUCCCUGCUUUUGUCACGGAGAAAAUAGGCCGGGGAUGGUCGGAACAGAAACCAAGAGGGCUCGGGAUGGGGUUUCCCAGUAUUUUCUGCGUCCCCCUGGUUCCCCAUGUCACUCUCCAGCCGUGUCCCGGGGCACUCCCGCCGCUGCCUGCGCUGCCCGGCCCGGGGCCGCUCGGUGCCCACCGGGUCACGGCUCCGGCAGCUUCUCUCGGGGGCUUUGCCGGCCCCGCACCCCGACGGGCCGCUCUCCCUUGUCCUCUUGGCGUCUACGAGGAGAAAAUCUGGCAGGGGCUCCCUUCCCAGGAAUCCCCGAUCUGCUCCAAACACACUUGGAGGCAGCCUCUCUCGGAGGGAGGGGUGCGCUACAUUCGCAGUCAAAUUACAUGGCUGGCCUCAGAGGCAACUCGCUUCGGAUUUCCAAACUAAUACUCAUCUUUUAAAAGCCGAGCCAAGAAGAAAAUGCGAGGAAGGCCUCAGAUGCGGGAGACCUCGGGGCAUUCUCAAUAAAAAUGUCCACAGAAAGGAAAGCUAAGGCUGGAAAAUGAAGUUUGGAAAUGACAAAGUUAAUUUUUUUCUUAUGACCCGGUUCCUGAUUACGUGAUCACAUAUGUAUGUUGAACAGGGAGUGAGGCGGAGCUGGAGAGUCCAAGUGGGUGAGUUAUGGAGAAGCCUUGUCUGAUUCACUACAAAGGUUAGAUGGUAUGCACUCUAUGAGACAUGUGGCCACACAGCAAACAAUGAGCAUAAAAAUAAAAAUUGAACAGCUGCCUCAUUUUCUAAGCACGUCCAUCUUGUACGUUGAGCAAGUCUGGGUUUCUGCAG